rnacentral:lncRNA from 1 species
GCCCUAUGACAUCAUGGUGAUGCUGUGGGAGGAAAGGGGAAGACGAAGUCACUUCUGGGAAGACAAAGUCACUUCUGAGAAAAUCUGCCACCAUGCAGCUUUUCCAACCACAAUUUGUCUAUCUGCCUCCCUCUCAAGGAGCAGAGAGCUCACCUCCCUGCCUGCCCCUUCCUUUGCAGCUACGGCGUCUCUAAUGCAAUUAACUCACCGGCCUCCAUUUCACACAUUUUGGAUGAUGCGCUGUGAUUUCACCACCUGCCCCCAAACUGACACAGUGCAGCACCAGAAUACUUCCAUACAAGCAAGAAAGCUGGAGAGCCCCUCAGAUGCUUUGUUUUCCAUUUUUCCCCCCACAGUGCUAGCUGGGAGACUAAGUCUCAAACCUAGCAGGGCCUGCCCAUCCUUCAGAUUAAGGGUCAUUCACUGUGACACCGGCUUCCUUCAGGUGAGGAGAAGACCACAGGCACGAAGCGUUGCUCUGGACAACACCUGUCCCC